UCGUUUUUAAACCGAAAUCGCGAUGUGAAUGGAUGCGAUUUUCGAAUCGCAAGAAAUGCGAUUAUUUCGAUUCAAAACUAUUAAAUAUAACAAUCAUCUAGUACGCAGUUUUUGACAGUUCGCUUCAUGCGCAUUUUACGUUUGAUGCAGUUUAGACCAAUACAGUGCAUGAACACUGAGGUGCUGACUACACGUCAUCACACCAUUUGGAAAACAUGAGCGCGAGCAGCAGUUCAACUCCUCAACAAAGUGUACGGCCAUAUGAUUUCCGCGAUGCGGAAAACACGGACAGAAUCGCGAAAUGCAUAUAAAUGGAAUUAACUGCACAACGCGGAAUGUCAUGAAGUUGGCAGAUUUUGGAUUCAGUCAUUUUAAAAACGCAUUAUAACUCAUUAACCGGCAAAUGAAAGGACAGAAAUGCGCGAAAACAUUUCCCUUUUGUGUAAUGUUGGACUUAAAGAAAGGUGUAUAUACGUCCGUUUCUUGUCAUGCAUCGCAAACAAUGGCAAGCGCCUCAUCAGACUAUAAGCAGGUUUCAUUAAAGCCCGGAACACAGCAGACGAAACAGGGGACCUUGGGGAGCAACACAAAUUUGCAUGUACUGCCCUUAGGGAGGGACGGUUCUUCGAGGUCAUUUCCGUCACAUCGCAGAGAAAGACUUCACUGUUUGUGCAUCCCCGGCGUGGCAGGCGGUCAAAUGCAGCUCCUUUGUGCUGCAGCAAUCGCUGUGACACGCUGGCAUGCAAUGACUCGUCUGUGGAGGAACAGUAGGAGCCUGUCGUGGACUACAGAGACUCUGUAGUGACAUUCUUCAGGAAAACUCGACACAGCAAAGCUCUCUUUGUGACGACUGAUGGCAUGAACCAAAAACCCAGAUAACUGCUUCUCCAGAAGCUCCACUGCAGUUUUGGGAUCGCCUUUCUUCACAGGACCUUCCAU